GAUHGCGGCGACGCGAGCGGUUCGCUGCCCGCGACGUCGCGAGAAGUCCACUGAACCUUAUCAUUUAGAGGAAGGAGAAGUCGUAACAAGGUUUCCGUAGGUGAACCUGCGGAAGGAUCAU
rnacentral:rRNA from 1 species